rnacentral:rRNA from 1 species
UACGGGGGGGGCAAGCGUUGUUCGGAAUUACUGGGCGUAAAGGGCUCGUAGGCGGCCAACUAAGUCAGACGUGAAAUCCCUCGGCUUAACCGGGGAACUGCGUCUGAUACUGGUUGGCUUGAAUCCGGGAGAGGGAUGUGGAAUUCCAGGUGUAGCGGUGAAAUGCGUAGAUAUCUGGAGGAACACCGGUGGCGAAGGCGGCAUCUUGGACCGGUAUUGACGCUGAGGAGCGAAAGCCAGGGGAGCAAACGGG